rnacentral:rRNA from 1 species
GACAGAGGGUGCAAACGUUGUUCGGAAUUACUGGGCGUAAAGCGUGUGUAGGCGGUCACGUAAGUCGGAUGUGAAAGCCCCGGGCUCAACCCGGGAAGUGCACUCGAUACUGCGUGACUCGAGUCUUGGAGAGGUUGGUGGAAUUCUCGGUGUAGAGGUGAAAUUCGUAGAUAUCGAGAGGAACACCGGUGGCGAAGGCGGCCAACUGGACGAAGACUGACGCUGAGACACGAAAGCGUGGGGAGCAAACAGG